rfam:Schistosoma haematobium scaffold667_23, whole genome shotgun sequence.
AGUCUUCUGAAUCCUUGCCGAGAUUUCUUCAGACAUCAGUUCAUCAGGACUGAUGAGACUUCAAAGACAAAUGAAGCG